rnacentral:rRNA from 1 species
UGCAAGUCGAGCGCGGGAAGCGAGUGGAUCCCUUCGGGGUGAAGCUCGUGGAACGAGCGGCGGACGGGUGAGUAACACGUGGGCAACCUGCCUGUAAGAUCGGAAUAACCCCGGGAAACCGGGGCUAAUGCCGGGUAAUACUUUCUUUCGCAUGAAGGAAAGUUGAAAGAUGGCUUCUUGCUAUCACUUACAGAUGGGCCCGCGGCGCAUUAGCUAGUUGGUGAGGUAACGGCUCACCAAGGCGACGAUGCGUAGCCGACCUGAGAGGGUGAUCGGCCACACUGGGACUGAGACACGGCCCAGACUCCUACGGGAGGCAGCAGUAGGGAAUCUUCCGCAAUGGACGAAAGUCUGACGGAGCAACGCCGCGUGAACGAUGAAGGUCUUCGGAUCGUAAAGUUCUGUUGUUAGGGAAGAACAAGUACCGUGCGAAUAGAGCGGUACCUUGACGGUACCUAACGAGGAAGCCCCGGCUAACUACGUGCCAGCAGCCGCGGUAAUACGUAGGGGGCAAGCGUUGUCCGGAAUUAUUGGGCGUAAAGCGCGCGCAGGCGGUUCCUUAAGUCUGAUGUGAAAGCCCACGGCUCAACCGUGGAGGGUCAUUGGAAACUGGGGAACUUGAGGACAGAAGAGGAGAGUGGAAUUCCACGUGUAGCGGUGAAAUGCGUAGAUAUGUGGAGGAACACCAGUGGCGAAGGCGACUCUCUGGUCUGUUUCUGACGCUGAGGUGCGAAAGCGUGGGUAGCAAACAGGAUUAGAUACCCUGGUAGUCCACGCCGUAAACGAUGAGUGCUAGGUGUUAGGGGGCUUCCACCCCUUAGUGCUGAAGUUAACGCAUUAAGCACUCCGCCUGGGGAGUACGGCCGCAAGGCUGAAACUCAAAGGAAUUGACGGGGGCCCGCACAAGCGGUGGAGCAUGUGGUUUAAUUCGAAGCAACGCGAAGAACCUUACCAGGUCUUGACAUCCUUGGACAUCCCUAGAGAUAGGGCUUUCCCUUCGGGGACCAAGUGACAGGUGGUGCA